CCUACGGGAGGCAGCAGUGAGGAAUAUUGGUCAAUGGCCGGAAGGCUGAACCAGCCAAGCCGCGUGAAGGACGAAGGUGCCAAGCAUUGUAAACUUCUUUUGUCAAGGGACAAAAUCAGGCUCGAGAGCCUGACCGAGGGUACUUUAAGAAAAAGCAUCGGCUAACUCCGUGCCAGCAGCCGCGGUAAUACGGAGGAUGCGAGCGUUAUCCGGAUUUAUUGGGUUUAAAGGGUGCGUAGGCGGACUGUUAAGUCAGCGGUAAAAGGCCGGGGCUCAACCCCGGCGAGCCGUUGAGACUGGCUGUCUUGAGAUGUCGAGAGGUAUGCGGAAUGAGCAAUGUAGCGGUGAAAUGCUUAGAUAUUGCGCAGAACUCCGAUAGCGAAGGCAGCAUACCGGCGGCGAACUGACGCUGAGGCACGAAAGCGUGGGUAUCGAACAGGAUUAGAUACCCGAGUAGUC
rnacentral:rRNA from 1 species